GGUGAACGCUGGCGGCGUGCUUAAGACAUGCAAGUCGAACGGCAGUCUUCGGGCUGUAGUGGCGCACGGGUGAGUAACGCGUAACUGACCUACCCCAAAGUCGCGGAUAACGAUUCGAAAGAAUCGCUAAUACGUGAUGUGCUGUCAGAUUGUGUUCUGCCAGUAAAGAUUGAUUGCUUUGGGAUGGGGUUGCGUUCCAUCAGCUAGUUGGUGGGGUAAAGGCCCACCAAGGCGACGACGGAUAGCCGGCCUGAGAGGGUGGCCGGCCACAGGGGCACUGAGACACGGGUCCCACUCCUACGGGAGGCAGCAGUUAGGAAUCUUCCACAAUGGGCGAAAGCCUGAUGGAGCGACGCCGCGUGAGGGAUGAAGGUCUUCGGAUCGUAAACCUCUGAAUCAGGGACGAAAGACACUUCGGUGGGAUGACGGUACCUGAGUAAUAGCACCGGCUAACUCCGUGCCAGCCGCCGCAGUAACAC
rnacentral:rRNA from 1 species